CGAAUAUAAUAACACCGAAUAUAAUAAAAAAAAUUUAAUAAACAAAGAAACUUAUUAUAAUGAUAUUGUUUUGUUUCAUUUUAGUUACGACAUUUUAUUUAAUACUAUGACUUCAAAACAUGGAAACAAUAAUAUUUCCUCAUAUAAAAGUAACAAACAAUAUUAUAAUACACAUAUGUUUGAUAAUACACAUAUGUUUGGUAGUGCAGAUAUGUUUGAUAGUGUAGAUAUCACAGAUUACACAGAUGAGUUAAUCUAUAUACCUACUACUAGUGUUAAUACAAAUUAUAACAACUUAAUGCGUAAGAAAAGAAAAAAAAUAAAUCUAAACAUAGAUAAACAUAUAAGUGAUAGUUUCUAUUCUUUAUGGUUAUGUGUAUUAAAAUUAACAAUUAAAUUAUUUCAUACAAAUAAAGAUAUUUUUAUAACAAAUAUUUGUUCUUUGUAUAUAUCUACUACAUAUUUUGUAGAAGAUUAUUUUGAAAAAUUAGUUAUGACUGAAUAUAAUAACACAUAUCACCCCAAUUCUGUCACAGUCCUUGAUAAUGACGAAAUAAACUUUAACGUUAGUAAUUAUUGCUUUGAUAUAAUUAUGGAAUAUUUAUGUCUAUUUCAUAUUUUUGAAAAGGAUAAUUAUUAUUUAACAUAUGAAUCUGAACUGACUGAAAUACUAACAAAUGAUUUAUUAAAAAAUAAUUUAUUAAAUAUAAUUUAUAAAAAUUUUAUGCUAACUAAUGAAAAAAAUGUUGAAAAAUGUAUUUACAUUUUACAGAUAUGUUUAGAUCUAUAUAAAAAAGAUGUAAAAAAAAUAAUAGCACAAAUGUUUACUUAUAUUGCUAAUUUUAUUGUAAUAUAUUUUAUUAAAGUUAUUUUACAAUACUUUAAUACAUUUUUUAAUAUAUACAAAAUUUUUCAAAAUCAUAACAUUAGUAAUAACAGUAGUAAUAACAGUGGUAAUAACAUUAGUAAUAACAGUAGUAAUAACAGUGGUAAUAGUAAGCAGGGCACUAGCAAUGUGACGGAAAACAAUGUCAGAGGUAAUUAUUAUAAGGUCAGUUAUACUACUAGCAAUAAUAACCCAUCGCUACAAAUCAACAAAGAAAUAACAAUAUAUAAUGAACGAAAUUUAUCUAAUAAUAUUUAUUCUUAUUUGGAUAAAUCUCAUGUGUGGCAAGAUCUUAACAACUGUAAUAAAAAUGAAAAUAGUAAUAAAA
ensembl:lncRNA